GCCGGGGCCCAUGAAAGAAGCUCAAGCCUGUGGCGCCGCCACCUCCAACCCAGGCUAGGCCUGACACAGCUUUUCCUCUGAUCAGUUCUCACUCCCAAGGCCAUGAUCAGCCCCGAGGUUCCAAGGGAGAGCAGGUGGCGGGCAACUGAGACGCCCCUCCGCUGGGGGCAGGCUCAGCAGCACCCGCCGCCAUGGCACACACUUUGACCCAGGAGUGCCACUGCUGCGGACUCAUCGUUCAGAUUGACGUGCCCACAUACACCAUUUACUGAGGCAAUGAGUGUAACUGCAAAGGACCAGAUACCACUAAAAUUGCCCUUCAUCAAAAGGAGCCCAGCAUAUAUCCUGCCUUACAGAGCUCCAUACGGCAAAUGAAGUCCAGGCACUGUGAAAGUCACUGACCAGACCGGUGGGGACUCUGGCCGCGCUGCCCGCUGUGUAAGGGGAGACGCCUCCCGGUGCCCAGCGCUGCACGCCCUCCCGCUGCCUCCAGGUGGCGCCACAAGCCCUGCUGCCCGGAGCAGAUGCUGGCGGCCGGGGGGAGCCUCCCUUGGGGCCUGGAGCUUGCUGACCAACAAGCAAAGGAACAGGCAGGUGCAAGUAAGUAACAUAAAAUAGAAACUAACUUUAUUUCUCUGGAAGAAGCAGGUACCGAAUGCUGGGGCAGCAACUUUGCCGACAGGCUGGUGGGAAAACAUGGAACCGCACGGGAAAUUGGGUGGAAGAGGAAGCACUGACGUCCCUCCCGGGCGGCUGCCCCUUGGUCUCCUUCCAGCCCGGGGCCUUGGGCCCUGGUCCCCGCCAGAGAAUGGUCUGGCGCCCUUUCUCUGCCUCCUGAGCCACCUCAGGCUAUUUCCAGGCACGAGAUCCUGAGGCCAGCCAAGUCCCAUUCAAGUCCAUGGUGAGGCCACCAGUCACAUUCUGCCCGACACCCCAACUGCCUGCCGGGGGCCCCCUAGAAGAAGGCCCAGUCCUAGGAGAUCCUAAUGGGUACUGGUCCGCCUCUCUGUGGCCAACACAUCCUGCCUGCCCAGGUCCAGUCAGGUUUCCUCCCCGUCUGGUCACCCAGG